ACUAAAGUCAAAGUUAAGACUCUGCCAUUCAUGCAAAGAAAGAAGGCUUGGUUUCAGUAACUGCAGUAGUGUUGAUGCAGUCAUGACAGGGAGACGCUGUGUGUUUCUAGGUGAAAGAAAAAGCACUUUAUUUGGCCUUCCGAAAGUAGAUGCAUUUAGGAAUCAUUAAGAUUACUUACAACAGAACAGCACAACCCAGAUGUUAUCACAACGCAUUUUAUAGACGACCGUCUCGUGAACCUAGGAGAGGAGGUAAUUCUGACUUUGCUAUGACAAUCUGGUGCUUCUGAAUCAGCGACUGUAAGUAUGUUUUGUUAUUAGUUUAAGUAUUUGCUAUUGACUGUUCAAAUGCGGAGUUUUGCGCGUCGUGUGUGUGUGUGUGCGCGAGAGAGAGAGAGACAGGGUCACAUCACAGCAUGUCAGCUGUCUUAAUCGCGGCUUGUGUGCAAAUACAUAGGAGCUUCAACACGGUGUCUGUCACGCGACUCUGUUCCCCUCUCGGGCUUGAACUGAUGGUAAAACUACGGACAUUAUUAACGGUCUUUAUUUUUAUUUUGAAAGCUGAAGCUGGCUAUUAUGGAAAGGGGCGUUACAUUUCCGACGCGUGCUUGUGGUGUUCAGCCAAUCACAAUGCACUGGGUCAGUUGGCCAAUCAGAGCAGACUUCACUUGUCGGAAGGAGACUUCUAGAAAACGAGGCGUUUGAGAGAGGCGGGGCAUAGAGGACCUACAAUAAUGUACAGUAUUUGAAAAAUAAUGUGUUUUUUUUUUUACUUUAAAGCAUGUCAACAUAUUCUGUUACACCAAAUGCACAAAAUAAUGAUCUUUUAAAAAAAGCAUCAUAUGACCCCUUUAAAAUAAAAUGAUCCCAAACGUAAGUACGGCACGUGGGGCUGUGCCAUGCAGUCAGUGAACCAUUUCAACCAACUGCAGUGCUAAUAAAGCAAAACAUGAAAUAUUUGAAUCACUUUUUUCACGAAGAGGAAAGUUCGAAGGACAUCUGCUUUACAUCGCCAUUCGCCAUCCGAAGUCCUUCAACUGCACUGACCUGCAUCUGCAUCUGUACCUACACGGUGUGUGCCACUGCAGCUGACGUUGAGACAACCCUGACUGUACCCGCAAGUCCUCGCCUGAUUCUACUUGGUGGAACUGGGCAAGUCACUUUUGGGCGCUGGAUGAUCACGCUUGAGGGUCGUGUCAUAUCUGAAGGCAUCACAUCAACCUUUUUGACGGGACUUGCUGCUGUAUUUGCAAUAUACUAUAUGCUUAACCUCCAAUAUCAAGAAGAAGCAGCCUGUACUCUGGAAUUCAUUUAGAGGUGCUUCAUUGGCAUCAAUCCCGAAAAAGGCACAAAGGCCACCCGGGAAAAGGUUGUCCCGAAAAAUUCUCCACAGUGAAUGCACAUGUCUCCGCACUAUUGAAGAACCUAAUCGACUUUCAGUGGGACUUCAUAUAGGGGUACCAGUUGGAAUACCUCAGGAGACAACAUGCAGCCAGGUCGUCAUGGUUAAGUGGGUGUAAAAUGACAAAGUCAUUCACCUAGGACUAGAACUCUUUUAAAAGGUACACGAGCCUCCUCACUGGAAUGUUUAAAAAAGUGCUGAAAAAACCCUGAACAAAUGUUUUUAUUCACUAAAAUGUUUCACUAAAUUUGUUGCAUGUUAGUGCAGAUCCAAAAAUGUUCAAAAAAUGUUAAAUGUUUAAUGUGUUUGACCUCAGGUUGUCAUGUUUGGAACUUAUUUUAUGUUUGUGUCUGUUAUUUAUUUUUUAUUGCCAUUGUUUUUAUUUGUUUUCUUCUGUUUUUUUUUUUUUUUUUUACCUUUUUUAGUUUUGAAUCCUAGUUAAA